GGGGUACGAUUUAAUGAUUUGAAACCUCUUUUGUGAGAAGCAGGACACAUAUACCUCCAUUUUGAUGUAUUAUUUGUGUCAGUGGAGUGAGAUUUGUGGGCGUGGGAGCGAUAUAUUCGAGCGAGGUUCUGUCGAUCAGAGACGAGGUCUGCACUCUAGCUGAUGACAUCAUCACUCUAAACUCUCCAAUACACACCCAUUAUAAAGCUUGAAAUUUGCUGAAAACCACAAGUUGCUUAAAGCUAAAUUGUGGAAAAACUGUAACAGAUAUCAAAAAACUGAGUACAACUAUAAUAGUCGACAAGUGAAUGAACAUUUUAAAGCAAAAAUGAGGUCUCUAGGUGAAAGUAUGCUGAAGUUAUAAGGUCUAGAAGGUGGAAGAAUAAAAGGAAGGAGUGGAAGAUUUCCCCAUUGACUUUAAUGUUAAAAUUUUUGCACAAAAAGUUAAAAAAAACAAAAAGUAUAAAAGGUAGAAAAGUAAAAAGUACAAGCAAACAUGUCCUGAAGGAGUGGAAUAGUUUAAAGUUUGAACGGUUGAAAUCGCACAAACUGGGAAGGAGUUGAAAGCGGACGAAAAACGGCGGAAGAAUAAUAAGUUUAAUAAUAAUAAUAAUAAUAAUAAAGAAACAGGAGAAUAACAAUAAGUGGAAAUGCCUAUCAGCAUUUCCACUUAACUAGAAAAAUUGCAUUUCCUUGCAGAAAAUGCGUGGAAAUGCUGAGUGCUGAAAGCUGAAAAAGCAAUGCUAAACUGCUAAUAAAACAUGGAGAAAGGUAUAAAUGUUAAAGCUGUUGAAGGGGUGAACAGAAAUAUAAGUUGGAUAAUUGAUUAAUUGGUUGAAGGACAAAUAGUAUGAAUAUGCUCUAUAAAAGGAAAUUUUAUUCAUGCUGAAAGAGGCUAGAAAAAUGUCGAAAAUUGCACAAAGUUUGAAUGAAGAAGGAAAUUGCCUUAAAAGGCAGGAAGAUGAGAAGUGGCAUAAGUUUAAAUUGUAGUACUAGAAGUAGUAUGAUAAGAAGUCAAGUCGUGAUACUAGUAGUCAUGUCAGCAGUAGAAGUAGAUUGAGAAUAAAAGAAGUAUAAGUCAAAGUAGUAAAGAAAGUAGAAAUAGGAGCAAUAGCAGUUGAAGUAGAGGGGAAAGUACUAGUUUAAUUGACAUUAGCAGUAGUUGUCGUACUUGAGGUAGGAUUUUGUUUGAAUGAUGGAGUAAUGCAUAAAUAUUAAAACUAAUUUAAAACAGGGAAAUUUUAAAUUAUCAAAAGUCCUCAAGUAUCAGAAAGUUUUGAAGUAUUAGAAAGGUUUGAAUCAGUUUGAAUGAGUUUAAAUUAGUUUGAAAAAUUAAAUGAUAAAUCAUCACUGACUGACUUUUAAAAUGUGAAAAAUUUAAAUGAAUAACAAUCCUAAAUACACCCAAUAAUGUCCUCAAUGAGCUUAAAUUUCAAAGCCCUGAAUGGUUUCUGUAGGUCAAAGGUCAUGUGAGGAGAUAGGGGCUGAAGUUUUUUCCAACGCUCUGGGAAAGCGUUUUAAGUGUCAUCCCAAUUGCUAUGUGUACUGAGCCUGGCUUCAUGUGUCUCAUAUGGCCACUAGAAGCAGCUUUCCAGUCAGCUGUGUGUCUCCAGGUGCACAAAUUGGUUGCCAUGGGGACCUUGGAUGCAUAACUAUAGCAGGAGAAAGAAGGCUUGAAGCUAAAGAAACAGGACUCCAAGUAGGCCCUGACGCUCACCCUCUGUAUAUAUUCAUAAGGAGCUUGUGAGAACACAAGACUCUGCUGAACACAUUAAUACAAUUUAUUAUCACAAUCCUCAAAACACCCCAUAAUAUCUUCAAUGAGCUGAAUUUUUGAAGCCCAGAAUGGUUUCUGUAGCUCAAAGUUUGUGGGUGGAGAUAGGUGGUGAAGCAGACACAUAUUAACUGUGUGUACAAGCAGCUGAACUGCAAGGUGGACCUCAAAAAGCAACAAGUACAAGAAUGUGUGUGCGUGUGUGUGUGUGUGUGUGUCGUUAAUGACUGCAUCCUAAACAGCUGUGAGAUCAAAGGCAAAUCACUAACCAACUGUUUGACUGAGAGGUGCUGAACUGCAGUGAAUUUCAGCCUGUGAACUUCUUCACAUAGCGUGAUUUCCUUAAGUCCCAGAAUGAAAAUAAGAACAUCGUACGAAUCCUCCGUCCUUCAUGAACACAAUGAUGUGUUUUUCAUGUCUGUACUUCGAAAAAUGAGGCCACAACAGCGAGUUAAAAAAGUCUGAGCCUGAGCGAUGAUCCGGAUUUUCCUGGAGAAAAAUAACAUUAUGGUCAAUGGGAGAGAUUUCCGCCUUUUUUGGACAGUUGGUCACCUGCUGGCCAAGGGGUACGAUUUAAUGAUUUGAAACCUCUUUUGUGAGAAGCAGGACACAUAUACCUCCAUUUUGAUGUAUUAUUUGUGUCAGUGGAGUGAGAUUUGUGGGCGUGGGAGCGAUAUAUUCGAGCGAGGUUCUGUCGAUCAGAGACGAGGUCUGCACUCUAGCUGAUGACAUCAUCACUCUAAACUCUCCAAUACACACCCAUUAUAAAGCUUGAAAUUUGCUGAAAAACACAAGUUGCUUAAAGCUAAAUUGUGGAAAAACUGUAAAAGAUAUCAAAAAACUGAGUACAACUUUAAUAGUCGACAAGUGAAUGAACAUUUUAAAGAAAAAAUUAGGUCUCUAGGUGAAAGUAUGCUGAAGUUAUAAGGUCUAGAAGGUGGAAGAGGAAAAGGUAGAUUUUAAGAUUUCCCCAUUCAUUUUUAAUGGUACAAAUUUUGCACAAAAAGUUAAAAAAAACAAAAAGUAUAAAGGGUAGAAAGGAAAAAAAUAGACGCCAUAAUGUCCUGAAUGAGUGGAAUAGUUUAAAGUUUGAACGGUUGAAAUCGGACAAAGUUUGAAGGAGGAGAAGCGGUCCAAAAAUCGGCGGAAGAAUAAUAAUAAGUUUAAUAAAGAAACAGGAGAAUAACAAUAAGUGGAAAUGCUUAAUCAGCAUUUCCACUUAACUAGAAAAAUUGCAUUUCCUUGCAGAAAAUGCGUGGAAAUGCUGAGUGCUGAAAGCUGAAAAAGCAAUGCUAAACUGCUAAUAAAACAUGGAGAAAGGUAUAAAUGUUAAAGCUGUUGAAGGGGUGAAAAAGAAAUAUAAGUUGGAUAAUAGUUUAAUUGGUUGAAGGACAAAUAGUAUGAAUAUGCUCUAUAAAAGGAAAUUUUAUUCAUGCUGAAAGAGGCUAGAAAAAUGUCUAAAAUUGCACAAAGUUUGAAUGAAGAAGGAAACUGCCUUUAAAGGCAGGAAGGUGAGAAGUGGCAUAAGUUUAAGUUGUAGUACUAGAAGAAGUAUGAUAAGAAGUCAAGUCGUGAUACUAGUAGUCAUGUCAGCAGUAGAAGUAGAUUGAGAAUAAAAGAAGUAUAAGUCAAAGUAGUAAAGAAAGUAGAAAUAGUAGCAAUAGCAGCAGUAGAGAAAGUAGAAAUAGGAGCAAUAGCAGUUGAAGUAGAGGGGAAAGUUCUAGUUUAAUUGACAUAAGUAGUUGUAGUACUAGAGGUAGGAUUUUGUUUGAAGGACGGAUUAAUGCAUAAAUAUUAAAAAUAAUAUAAAACAGGGAAAAUUUUAUUAAUUAAAAAUCCUCAAGUAUCAGACAGUUUUUAAGUAUUAGAAAGGUUUGAAUCAUUUUGAAUGAGUUUAAAUUAGUUUGAAAAAUUAAAUGAUAAAUUAUCACUGAGUGACUUUAAAAUGUGAAACAUUUAAAUGAAUAUAAAUCCUAAAUACACCCCAUAAUGUCCUCAAUGAGCUUAAAUUUUAAAGCCCUGAAUGGUUUCUGUAGGUCAAAGGUCAUGUGAGGAGAUAGGGGCUGAAGGUUUUUCAAGCGCUCUAGGAAAGGGUUUUAAGUGUCAUCCCCAGUGCUAUGUGUACUGAGCCUGGCUUGAUGUGUCUCAUAUGGCCAUUAGAAGCAGCUUUCCAGUCAGCUGUGUGUCUCCAGGUGCACAAAUUGGUUGCCAUUGGGACCUUGGAUGAAUAACUAUAGCAGGAGAAAGAAGGCUUGAAGCUAAGGAAACAGGACUCCAAGUAGGCCCUGACGCUCAUCCUCUGUAUAAAUUCAUAAGGAGCUUGUGAGAACACAAGAUUUUGCUGAACACAUUAAUACAAUUUAUUAUCACAAUCCUCAAAACACCCCAUAAUAUCUUCAAUGAGCUGAAUUUUUCAAGCCCAGAAUGGUUUCUGUAGCUCAAAGUUUGUGGGUGGAGAUAGGUGGUGAAGCAGACACAUAUUAUCUGUGUGUACAAGCAGGUGAACUGCAAGGUAGACCUGACAAUGCAACAAGUACAAGAAUGUGUGUGUGUGUGUGUGUCUCAUUAAUGACUGCAUCCCUAACAGCUGUGAGAUCAAAGGCAAAUCACUGACCUACUGUUUGAAUGAGAAGCAGCUGAACUGCAGAGGAUUUAGAGGCUCUAAACUUCUUCACAUAGCGUGAUUUCCUUAAGUCCCAGAAUGAAAAUAAGAACAUCGUACGAAUCCUCCGUCCUUCAUGAACACAAUGAUGUCUUUUUCAUGUCUGUACUCCGAAAAAUGUGGCCACAACAGCGAGUUAAAAAAGUCUGAGCCUGAGUGGGGAUAAGGAUUUUUUUGGAGAAGAAAUACAUUACGGUCAAUGGGAGAGAUUUCUGCCUUUUUUGGACAGUUGGUCACCUGCUGGCCAAGGGGUACGAUUUAAUGAUUUGAAACCUCUUUUGUGAGAAGCAGGACACAUAUACCUCCAUUUUGAUGUAUUUUUUAUGGGUGUGGAGUGAGAUUUGUGGGCGUGGGAGCGAUAUAUUCAAGCGAGGUUCUGUCGAUCAGAGAGGAGGUCUGCACUCUAGCUUUUCAAAUCAUCACUCUAGCCUCUCCAAUACUGCCCCAUUAUAAAGCCUGAAAUUUGCUGAAAACCACAAGUUGCAUAAAGCUAAACUGUGGAAAAACUGUAAAAGAUAGCACAAAGAGGUUAAUACAACAUCAAUAGUCGACAAGACAAUGAACAUUUUAAAGCAAAAAUGAGGUCUCUAGGUGAAAGUAUGGUGAAGUUAUAAGGCUUAGAAGGUGCACGAAUAACAGGAAGAAUUGGAAGAUUUCCCCAUUCAUUUCUAUGGGAAAAAAGUUUGGAACAAAAAGUGAAAAAUAAUAAAAAGUACAAAGGAUAGAAAGGAAAAAAAUACAAGCACACAUGUCCUGAUGGAGUGGAAUAGUUUAAAGUUUGAACGGUUGAAAUCGGACAAAGUUUGAAGGAGGAGAAGCGGUCCAAAGAAACGUAUGGGGAGAGUGUUAAGUAUAAUACUAGAAAAAUUGCAUUUCCUUGCAGAAAAUGCGUGGAAAUGCUGAGUGCUGAAAGCUGAAAAAGCAAUGCUAAACUGCUAAUAAAACAUGGAGAAAGGUAUAAAUGUUAAAGCUGUUGAAGGGGUGAAAAAGAAAUAUAAGUUGGAUAAUAGUUUAAUUGGUUGAAGGACAAAUAGUAUGAAUAUGCUCUAUAAAAGGAAAUUUUAUUCAUGCUGAAAGAGGCUAGAAAAAUGUCUAAAAUUGCACAAAGUUUGAAUGAAGAAGGAAACUGCCUUUAAAGGCAGGAAGGUGAGAAGUGGCAUAAGUUUAAGUUGUAGUACUAGAAGAAGUAUGAUAAGAAGUCAAGUCGUGAUACUAGUAGUCAUGUCAGCAGUAGAAGUAGAUUGAGAAUAAAAGAAGUAUGAGUCAAAGUAGUAAAGAAAGUAGAAAUAGGAGCAAUAGCAGCAGUAGAGAAAGUAGAAAUAGGAGCAAUAGCAGUUGAAGUAGAGGGGAAAGUACUAGUUUAAUUGACAUAAGUAGUUGUAGUACUAGAGGUAGGAUUUUGUUUGAAGGACGGAUUAAUGCAUAAAUAUUAAAAAUAAUAUAAAACAGGGAAAAUUUUAUUAAUUAAAAAUCCUCAAGUAUCAGACAGUUUUUAAGUAUUAGAAAGGUUUGAAUGAGUUUAAAUUAGUUUGAAAAAUUAAAUGAUAAAUCAUCACUGAGUGACUUUAAAAUGUGAAAAAUGUAAAUGAAUAUAAAUCCUAAAUACACCCCAUAAUGUCCUCAAUGAGCUUAAAUUUUAAAGCCCUGAAUGGUUUCUGUAGGUCAAAGGUCAUGUGAGGAGAUCGGAGCUGAAGUUUUUUCAAGCGCUCUAGGAAAGGGUUUUAAGUGUCAUCCCCAGUGCUAUGUGUACUUAGCCUGGCUUCAUGUGUCUCAUAUGGCCAUUAGAAGCAGCUUUCCAGUCAGCUGUGUAUCUCCAGGUGCACAAAUUGGUUGCCAUGGGGACCUUGGAUGCACAACUUUGGCAGGAGAAAGAAGGCUUGAAGCUAAGGAAGCAGGACUCCAAGUAGGCCCUGACGCUCAUCCUCUGUAUCUAUUCCUGAUAAGGAGCUUGUGAGAACACAAGACUCUGCUGCACACAUUAAUACAAUUUGUUAUCACAAUCCUCAAAACACCCCAUAAUAUCUUCAAUGAGCUGAAUUUUUCAAGCCCAGAAUGGUUUCUGUAGCUCAAAGUUUGUGGGUGGAGAUAGGUGGCGAAGCAGACACAUAUUAACUGUGUGUACAAGCAGCUGAACUGCAAGGUAGACCUCAUAAAGCAACAAGUACAAGAAUAUGUGUGUGUGUGUGUGUGUGUCUCGUUAAUGACUGCAUCCUAAACAGCUGUGAGAUCAAAGGCAAAUCACUGACCUACUGUUUGAAUGAGAAGCAGCUGAACUACAGAGGAUUUAGAGGCUCUAAACUUCUUCACAUAGCGUGAUUUCCUUAAGUCACAGAAUGAAAAUAAGAACAUCGUACGAAUCCUCCGCCCUUCAUGAACACAAUGAUGUCUUUUUCAUGUCUGUACUUCGAAAAAUGAGGCCACAACAGCGAGUUAAAAAAGUCUGAGCCUGAGCGAUGAUCCAGAUUUUCUUGGAGAAAAAUAACAUGACGGUCAAUGGGAGAGAUUUCCGCCUUCUUUGGACAGUUGGUCACCUGCUGGCCAAGGGGUACGAUUUAAUGAUUUGAAACCUCUUUUGUGAGAAGAAGGACACAUAUACCUCCAUUUUGAUGUAUUAUUUAUGGCUCUGGAGUGAGAUUUGUGGGCGUGGGAGCGAUAUAUUCGAGCGAGGUUCUGUCGAUCAGAGACGGGGUCUGCACUGUAGCUGAUGACAUCAUCACUCUAAACUCUCCAAUACACACCCAUUAUAAAGCUUGAAAUUUGCUGAAAACCACAAGUUGCUUAAAGCUAAAUUGUGGAAAAACUGUAGGAGAUAGCACAAAAAAGUCAAUACAGCAUAUUUGGAGGAGAAGAUUGUGAACAUUUUAAAGCAAAAAUUAGGUCUGUAGGUGAAAGUACGCUGAAGUUAUAAGGCUGAGAAGGUGGAGGAGUAAAAGGUAGAAUUUGAAGAUUUCCCCAUUCAUUUCAAUGGGAAAAUUUUUUGCACAAAAAGUCAAAAAUAUCAAAAAGUAUAAGGGGUAGAAAAGAAAAAAGUAAUAGCCAUAAUGUCCUGAAGGAGUGGAAUAGUUUAAAGUUUGAACGGUUGAAAUCGGACAAAGUUUGAAGGAGGAGAAGCGUUGCAAAAAAGGGACGGAAGAAUAAUAAUAAGUUUAAUAAAGAAACGGGAGAAUAACAAUAAGUGGAAAUGCCUAUCAGCAUUUCCACUUAACUAGAAAAAUUGCAUUUCCUUGCAGAAAAUGCGUGGAAAUGCUGAGUGCUGAAAGCUGAAAAAGCAAUGCUAAACUGCUAAUAAAACAUGGAGAAAGGUAUAAAUGUUAAAGCUGUUGAAGAGGUGAAAAAGAAAUAUAAGUUGGAUAAUUGAUUAAUUGGUUGAAGGACAAAUAGUAUGAAUAUGCUCUAUAAAAGGAAAUUUUAUUCAUGCUGAAAGAGGCUAGAAAAAUGUCGAAAAUUGCACAAAGUUUGAAUGAAGAAGGAAAUUGCCUUAAAAGGCAGGAAGGUGAGAAGUGGCAUAAGUUUAAAUUGUAGUACUAGAAGUAGUAUGAUAAGAAGUCAAGUCGUGAUACUAGUAGUCAUGUCAGCAGUAGAAGUAGAUUGAGAAUAAAAGAAGUAUAAGUCAAAGUAGUAAAGAAAGUAGAAAUAGGAGCAAUAGCAGUUGAAGUAGAGGGGAAAGUUCUAGUUUAAUUGACAUUAGGAGUAGUUGUCGUACUUGAGGUAGGAUUUUAUUUGAAUGAUGGAGUAAUGCAUAAAUAUUAAAACUAAUUUAAAACAGGGAAAUUUUAAAUUUCCUCAAGUAUCAGAAAGUUUUGAAGUAUUAGAAAGGUUUGAAUCAGUUUGAAUGAGUUUAAAUUAGUUUGAAAAAUUAAAUGAUAAAUCAUCACUGACUGACUUUUAAAAUGUGAAAAAUUUAAAUGAAUAACAAUCCUAAAUACACCCAAUAAUGUCCUCAAUGAGCUUAAAUUUCAAAGCCCUGAAUGGUUUCUGUAGGUCAAAGGUCAUAUGAGGAGAUAGGGGCUGAAGUUUUUUCCAACGCUCUAGGAAAGCGUUUUAAGUGUCAUCCCAAUUGCUAUGUGUACUGAGCCUGGCUUCAUGUGUCUCAUAUGGCCACUAGAAGCAGCUUUCCAGUCAGCUGUGUGUCUCCAGGUGCACAAAUUGGUUGCCAUGGGGACCUUGGAUGCAUAACUAUAGCAGGAGAAAGAAGGCUUGAAGCUAAAGAAACAGGACUCCAAGUAGGCCCUGACGCUCACCCUCUGUAUAUAUUCAUAAGGAGCUUGUGAGAACACAAGACUCUGCUGAACACAUUAAUACAAUUUAUUAUCACAAUCCUCAAAACACCCCAUAAUAUCUUCAAUGAGCUGAAUUUUUGAAGCCCAGAAUGGUUUCUGUAGCUCAAAGUUUGUGGGUGGAGAUAGGUGGUGAAGCAGACACAUAUUAACUGUGUGUACAAGCAGCUGAACUGCAAGGUGGACCUCAAAAAGCAACAAGUACAAGAAUGUGUGUGUGUGUGUGUCUCGUUAAUGACUGCAUCCUAAACAGCUGUGAGAUCAAAGGCAAAUCACUAACCUACUGUUUGACUGAGAGGUGCUGAACUGCAGUGAAUUUCAGCCUGUGAACUUCUUCACAUAGCGUGAUUUCCUUAAGUCCCAGAAUGAAAAUAAGAACAUCGUACGAAUCCUCCGUCCUUCAUGAACACAAUGAUGUCUUUUUCAUGUCUGUACUUCGAAAAAUGUGGCCACAGCAGCGAGUUAAAAAAGUCUGAGCCUGAGUGGGGAUAAGGAUUUUCUUGGAGAAGAAAUACAUUAGGUCUAAUGGGGAGAGAUUUCCGCCUAUUUGGACAGUUGGUCACCUGCUGGCCAAGGGGUAGGAUUUAAUGAUUUGAAACCUCUUUUGUGAGAAGCAGGACACAUAUACCUCCAUUUUGAUGUAUUUUUUAUGGCUGUGGAGUGAGAUUUGUGGGCGUGGGAGCGAUAUAUUCAGGCGAGGUUCUGUCGAUCAGAGACGAGGUCUGCACUCUAGCUUUUCAAAUCAUCACUCUAGCCUCUCCAAUACACCCCUAUUAUAAAGCCUGAAAUUUGCUGAAAACCACAAGUUGCAUAAAGCUAAAUUGUGGAAAAACUGUAAAAGAUAGCACAAAGAGGUUAAUACAACAUCAAUAGUCGACAAGACAAUGAACAUUUUAAAGCAAAAAUGAGGUCUCUAGGUGAAAGUAUGCUGAAGUUAUAAGGUCUAGAAGGUGGAGGAAUAACAGGAAGAAUUGAAGAUUUCCCCAUUCAUUUCUAUGGGAAAAAAGUUUGGCACAAAAAGUGAAAAAUAAUAAAAAGUAUAAAGGGUAGAAAAGAGAAAAGUAAUAGCCAUCAUGUCCUGAUGGAGUGGAAUAGUUUAAAGUUUGAACGGUUGAAAUCGGACAAAGUUUGAAGGAGGAGAAGCGGUCCAAAGAAACGUAUGGGGAGAGUGUUAAGUAUAAUACUAGAAAAAUUGCAUUUCCUUGCAGAAAAUGCGUGGAAAUGCUGAGUGCUGAAAGCUGAAAAAGCAAUGCUAAA
rnacentral:lncRNA from 1 species